GGGGCAGGGAUAGCCGCUAGGGUUGGGCUGAUGCUUGGAUUCAAAUAGGGAAAAACCGGGCCGGUGCGGCAGUGCUCUGUACCGUCGGCCCAGUGUUGUCCCGUCCAGUGUCUCCUGCUGUUGUUGCUCUUCAUAUUGCUCACCUGUGUGUUACCCUGAGCGAAGGCCUCCUGAACAUCCCCUCCCACGCCCAUGAGUGAGUCCUGAGGUGUGUGAGUCGGGGUUGUGCCGGCAGAGUCCGAGUGGAUUGGUG